UACGAAGGGGGCUAGCGUUGCUCGGAAUCACUGGGCGUAAAGCGCACGUAGGCGGGUCUUUAAGUCAGGGGUGAAAUCCUGGAGCUCAACUCCAGAACUGCCUUUGAUACUGAGGAUCUCGAGUCCGGGAGAGGUGAGUGGAACUCCGAGUGUAGAGGUGAAAUUCGUAGAUAUUCGCAAGAACACCAGUGGCGAAGGCGGCUCACUGGCCCGGAACUGACGCUGAGGCGCGAAAGCGUGGGGAGCAAACAGG
rnacentral:rRNA from 1 species